rnacentral:tRNA from 1 species
GCGCACAUGGUCUAACGGUUAGGAUCCAUGCCUUCCAAGCAUGUGGCCCGGGUUCGACUCCCGGUGUGCGCA